UACGUAGGGCGCAAGCGUUGUCCGGAAUUAUUGGGCGUAAAGAGCUCGUAGGCGGCCUGUCGCGUCUGCUGUGAAAUCCCGGGGCUUAACCCCGGGCGUGCAGUGGAUACGGGCUGGCUGGAGGCAGGCAGGGGAGAACGGAAUUCCCGGUGUAGCGGUGAAAUGCGCAGAUAUCAGGAGGAACACCGGUGGCGAAGGCGGUUCUCUGGGCCUUACCUGACGCUGAGGAACGAAAGCGUGGGGAGCAAACAGG
rnacentral:rRNA from 1 species